rnacentral:rRNA from 1 species
UACGUAGGGGGCUAGCGUUGUCCGGAAUCAUUGGGCGUAAAGCGCGUGUAGGCGGCCCGGUAAGUCCGCUGUGAAAGUCGGGGGCUCAACCCUCGGAUGCCGGUGGAUACUGUCGGGCUUGAGUACGGAAGAGGCGAGUGGAAUUCCUGGUGUAGCGGUGAAAUGCGCAGAUAUCAGGAGGAACACCGAUUGCGAAGGCGGCUCACUGGCCCGGUACUGACGCUGAGGUGCGAAAGCGUGGGGAGCAAACAGG